rnacentral:rRNA from 1 species
AUCAAGAAGUUGUGAUGGCGUAGUAAGAAUGGUCAAAGAAAACCACACUAGGUGUUGUGGAAGGAUAUGACACAGUCAAAAAGUAUGGGAGGCCUUGGUUUCAAAGAUAUUGAGCUUUUUAAUCUCGCUUUGUUGGCAAGGCAGACACGGCGUUUGUUGCAAAAUCCUGAAUCCUUGAGUGCAAGAGUACUUAAAGGUGUUUACUUUCUAGACACAACAAUUCUUCAAGCUACCCUUGGCAACCACCCGAGCCAGGUUUGGAGAUCUGUCAUCGAGGGGCGCGAUGUGUUGAAACAAGGCCUGGUCCAAAGAAUUGGCAAUGGCAAGUCAACAAGAAUUUGGUCCGAGAACUAG